rnacentral:lncRNA from 1 species
CUGUUCUGUUCCUAAUUCAAGAUUGCUUUGUCUUGUCCUUUCUGAGCCUUGUUUACAUUACUUUUCCAAAAAACUGCAUGUAGCUCACCUUUAUCCCAAUUAACUGCCAAUAAAAGUCAGUGCCUGGGACUGGCCAGGGCCUGUCGGUUGUCCCUGCACCCCCGCUUUCUCUCUCCUAGUUCUGCCUUUUAGUUUUAUUUCUCAGGCCUCACGUGCGUAUACUGGGCAGGGUUCUGGAACCUAACUGCAGGAUCUCUAGUACUUGGCGCCCAUGGUCAGGGCUCAAACCAUGAGCAAUCACCUGCUCAGUAAGGCUACUCGGAAUAAAAGAAGGAGUCGACAAUAGCGUGCACCUCACACCAAGGUCAAGGACAAGCACAACAACCCAGAGAAAGAGUUUAGAGACCAAAACUAUAAAGGUAACUGGGCUAAGAAGACAGCCAAUAUUUUGGCCCUGGCCCUUCAAGGUCUACAAACAGCCCAGGUCAUGACAGAAUCUUUUCUACAAGAUCCUACAACUUUGGUAAGUCACCGAACCUCCUGAGCAGGGAGACUGUGGGACACCAAAAAAAGGUAAGGAUCUGCAAAUGUAAAGUUUGCCAAAGGAGUGUCACAUGAAGGGAAAAAUCUCCCACGCUUUCACAGAAAGCAACAUGGUCAAGCAAGGCCACGACCCAUCCCGAUGGCUGACACUGACAGGAGCUGAGCAGCUCUGCACAAGGCUCAAUGUGAUGCCUGUGGAGACUUAGCUGACCUUGACAGUUAGGAAGUGGUUAAUUUUAAUUAAUAUAGAUCAGUAGAAAAGCAUAAUCCAAAGAUAUAUGAAGUAAAGACCAUAGUAAUAAAGCUGGGUGUAAGAAGAGGCUCCAAUUGCUGACCUCUUGUGGCAGUUUCCAGCUACACUGCUGACUCGCCCGUUAUAGGUCAUUAGAAGAGACUACGGUAAAAUUUAUAGACAUCAACAAGAGUUUUUAGAAUUUUUAGCUAAAAUUGUUUUUUAAAAUUAUUAAAUUUUCAAUCUUUUUACAGCUAAAAUUAAAAGAAAAAUUAUGACAAAAUAUCAGACCAAUGGCUGGUCCGAGUACAGUGGUGUUUACAACUAAUUGAUCACAACCAGUUACAGAUAAGCUCCAUUAGUAAAAGGGUCUAAGAGUCAGCAGGUUCCACUCACUAUUUUAGUCCUUUAAAAACAGUUUCUAAACACGGCUCUUUCCCCAACCUGCAUUUUUUAUUUUAGUACUUAUACUUUGAUUAUACAUGCUCUAAUUUAAGAAAUUGUUUGUUCUUGCAUAUAGGCUGCCAAACUCCAAGUGAUCAUAUAGAUAAAAUCAACAAGAAAUGUGCUAAUUUUUUUAACCAAAAUCCACCAGACUGACUUUAUAAGAGUUUAUAGUUGCUAAAUUACAACAUAAUUUUUUUAUUUAAGGCUAUUAAAUUAGCCCCCUAAAGAGAGCCCCUAACUGUGGUCUUCCCUACACGACACUUCUCAGCUCAAAAGAGAUUAAAACUAUGCUCUUCUCCCCUAACCACAGCUGGAGAUGCUCUUUUAUAAAAAAAUUAUUAUAGGCAACUAAGUCAGUUAAACACAUUAUAUAUCCUCGUGACAUAAGUUCAUUAAAUACCUCUCAGGGACAAGCCAUUGUUGGGCAUACUCACCUUUCCCUAAAAACACAAUCACAUAAACAAAGGGGGGGGGGGUCAGCUACCUCCAUAAGUUCAAUUAGAUCUUGUUAUUUUCAUUUUAAAUGUUUAAAAUCCACUUAUGGAAGCUAAAUAUACUCCACUGAAACUUCAUUAAUACAAAGAUAGAUCUACAGACAUGGCCUAGACACUAGUGUUGUCAAAGUAUGUCCUAACUAAAAGGUAAAUGGCUAAAAACAAUUAAUAACAUAGGGGCCAGAAUAUGCUUUUUUUUCAACAGAAAAUAAGAUGCUGUGACCAUCAUCCCAGAAUGUACCACCACGGACCAAGAUGAUAGAUUUGCUGCAAGCAGCACAAUGUGACCCCCGCUGAGGGCCAUGCAAAAGCUACAUGUGAGUGACUCUCCUCGCCUGCAACAGCCCUUGGACCUGCAAAGAUCACCAGACCUAACGCAGCUGACGUUUUCAACAGAGAAGAGGGAGAUGCAGAGGACUAUAAUAUUGAUUAUGACCAAAGCAGACUAAAGAGCUAACCCCACAAUCAGCUUGUUUAUAGAAAUGAGUCCAAAGCCCAUGUGCCAAGGUCAGAGUAACUCGCACCCAAAUUCCAUUCCCACAACUAAAACCUCCUGACUAGAAAGACAAUGUUCUAAUUACAAUCAUGUAUUUGUCUAUUCUGUUCCUAAUUCGAGAUUGCUUUGUCUUGUCCUUUAUGGGCCCUGUUUACAUUAAUUUCCAUAGGAAUUCCACACAGCUUGCUUUUACCCCAAUUAACUGCCAAUAAAAGUCAGUGCCUGGGACUGGCCAGGGCUUUGGGUGGUUGCACCAGCACUGGUCGGUCCUGGCCCCCUUUCUCUCUCCUAGUUCUGCCUUAGUUUUAUUUCUUAGGCCUGCGUCGUAUACUGGGCAGGGUGCUGAAACCUAACUGCAGGUGUCUCCAGUAACAGCACAGCA